AUUGAACGCUGGCGGCAUGCCUUACACAUGCAAGUCGAACGGCAGCACGGGUGCUUGCACCUGGUGGCGAGUGGCGAACGGGUGAGUAAUACAUCGGAACGUACCUUAUCGUGGGGGAUAACGCAGCGAAAGCUGUGCUAAUACCGCAUACGCCCUGAGGGGGAAAGCGGAGCAACGCAAGACCCCGCCGGACUCGAGCGGCCCAUGCCUGUUUAGCUUGUUGGGGGGGUAAAAGCCCACCAAGGCGACGAUCAGUAGCUGGUCUGAGAGGACGAUCAGCCACACUGGGACUGAGACACGGCCCAGACUCCUACGGGAGGCAGCAGUGGGGAAUUUUGGACAAUGGGGGCAACCCUGAUCCAGCAAUGCCGCGUGAGUGAAGAAGGCCUUCGGGUUGUAAAGCUCUUUUGUCAGGGAAGAAACACCGGCUCUAACACAGUCCGGGAAUGACGGUACCUGAAGAAUAAGCACCGGCUAACUACGUGCCAGCCGCCGCAGUAA
rnacentral:rRNA from 1 species